rnacentral:piRNA from 1 species
UCAUGAAUUCCUUGAUGCCUUCGUCC